CGGACGGGUGAGUAACACGUGGAUAACCUACCUAUAAGACUGGGAUAACUUCGGGAAACCGGAGCUAAUACCGGAUAAUAUAUUGAACCGCAUGGUUCAAUAGUGAAAGACGGUUUUGAUGUCACUUAUAGAUGGAUCCGCGCCGCAUUAGCUAGUUGGUAAGGUAACGGCUUACCAAGGCAACGAUGCGUAGCCGACCUGAGAGGGUGAUCGGCCACACUGGAACUGAGACACGGUCCAGACUCCUACGGGAGGCAGCAGCU
rnacentral:rRNA from 1 species